CGUAACCUAACAUAUCUCAUCGUGGCUAUUCGAAAUACUGAGAAUUUAGUAUUGUGCAGUGUGUCGCAUUCGUCACAUUUUGAUAAGUUAUAUUUGUUUAAGGAUGGAGAACAACAAAUAUAUUGUAGCAGAAUUUAAUGAUGGCCUGCAGUUGAUACCUAUAAUAUGGUACAAUGCAGAUACGUCAUCAAGUCUUUGGCCAAGUCAUUUUAAAACAAAACUUCGUAUCAAUAAGACUAUAAUUACAAGAGAAAUUCCAAAAGAAAAAUCAGAUUGGGAGAAGUUACUAAUAAAAAGGGUGUUUGCCAUUGCAAGUAUAUGAAUAAUGUAACACACAAGUUUGUAGUAUAUUAAUAGAUACUUUUGGAACUCUAUUUUUAUACUUUUAUUUUGUUUUAGAUACUUACGAAGAGGGCCUGGAAAAAUUAUGUUUAGCGGAAGAAACGUCAAAUGUUGACAAAACAGGUAUAACGUCAAACGAAGCACAAAAACGAGAAAAAAAGAGAAGACGUU